CCUACGGGGGGCAGCAAUGGGGGAUAUUGGACAAUGGGGGAAACCCUGAUCCAGCGACGCCGCGUGAGUGAAGAAGUAUUUCGGUAUGUAAAGCUCUAUCAGCAGGGAAGAAAGAAAUGACGGUACCUGAGUAAGAAGCCCCGGCUAACUACGUGCCAGCAGCCGCGGUAAUACGUAGGGGCCAAGCGUUAUCCGGAAUUACUGGGAGCAAAGGGAGCGUAGACGGUAAUGGAAGUCUGAUGUGAAAGGCGGGGGCGCAACCUGGGUACUGCACUGGGUACUGCAUGGCUGGAGUGCGGGAGGGGCAAGCGGAAUUCCAGGUGUAGCGGUGAAAUGCGUAGAUAUCAGGAGGAACACCGGCGGCGAAGGCGGCCUGCUGGACCGCGACUGACGUUGAGGCUCGAAAGCGUGUGGAGCGAACAGGAUUAGAUACCCGUGUAGUC
rnacentral:rRNA from 1 species